rnacentral:rRNA from 1 species
GGAGUCUGGUCCGUGUCUCAGUACCAGUGUGGGGGACCUUCCUCUCAGAACCCCUACGCAUCCUCGCCUUGGUGGGCUGUUAUCUCACCAACUAGCUAAUGCGCCGCAGGUCCAUCUUAAAGCGGAGCCAAGAGCUCCUUUUCAAAUUCAAGAGAUGCCUCUCGAAUUCAUAUCCGGUAUUAGCCAAAGUUUCCUCUGGGGU